AAUCGUACGUAGAUUAACGACCAGGCACAAGCCUAACUGUUGCAACAAGCCCUGUGGUGGGUAGACCAGUUAAUGAAUGAAAAUGCUUCUUUCCCCUGGCUUUAUAAAGAAUUGUCUCUUGUCAUUGUCACACAGUAGCUACCUGUCUUUACUGCUCUUUGAUUGUAUCCAUCUCUCUCUCUCUUUCUCUCUCUCUCUUUCUCUCUGAUAGUUGUGCUCUCUCUCUCUCUCUCUCCCCUAAUGGAUGUGCCGGAGCACAACUACUUUAUCAACAUCGGUAAGGACGAAACUGCCAUUGGGAAACACCUGUCUAGAUCCCAAAAAGUACCUCUCUCUGGAUGGGAACAGUCUGAACACAGCUGAUCUGGUCCGUUUGGGGAAAGGCCUGUUCAACAUCAAGCUGACCUGCGAGGCUGAAGGGAAAGUCAAUGAAGACAGAGAAGUGAUAGAAACCAUAAUAAAAGAAAACCGAGGUAUGUAUAGAUUAAUAGAAUAUAUAGCUAUAGAUUAAUAUAAUACAUAGCUAUAGAUUAAUAGAAUACAUAGCUAUAGAUUAAUAGAAUACAUAGCUAUAGAUUAAUAGAAUACAUAGCUAUAGAUUAAUAGAAUGUAUAGCUAUAGAUUAGUAGAAUGUAUAGCUAUAGAUUAGUAGAAUGUAUAGCUAUAGAUUAGUAGAAUGUAUAGCUAUAGAUUAGUAGAAUGUAUAGCUAUAGAAUAUAUAGCUAUAGAUUAGUAGAAUACAUAGCUAUAGAUUAAUAGAAUACAUAGCUAUAGAUUAGUAGAAUACAUAGCUAUAGGUUAAUAGAAUAUAUAGCUAGAGAUUAAUAGAAUAUAUUGCUAUAGAAUACAUAGCUAUAGA
rnacentral:lncRNA from 8 species